UACGGAGGGUGCAAGCGUUAUCCGGAUUCACUGGGUUUAAAGGGUGCGUAGGCGGGUAUGUAAGUCAGUGGUGAAAUCCCCGAGCUUAACUCGGGAACUGCCAUUGAUACUAUAUAUCUUGAAUAUUCUGGAGGUAUGCGGAAUAUGUCAUGUAGCGGUGAAAUGCUCAGAGAUGACAUAGAACACCUAUUGCGAAGGCAGCAUACUACGGAAAGAUUGACGCUGAGGCACGAAAGUGUGGGGAUCAAACAGG
rnacentral:rRNA from 1 species